UCCCUGUUGGCUCAGACGGUAAAGUGUCUGUCUGCAAUGCAGGAGACCUGGGUUCGAUUCCUGGGUUGGGAA
rnacentral:tRNA from 1 species